rnacentral:rRNA from 1 species
GGUUGAUCCUGCCGGACCUGACUGCUAUCGGAUUGGUACUAAGCCAUGCGAGUCAUUGUACAAUACAAGGCGGACGGCUCAGUAACACGUAGUCAACCUAACUCGUGGACGUGGAUAACCUCGGGAAACUGAGAAUAAAACACGAUAGAUCAUAGUGCCUGGAAUGGCUUAUGGUCCAAACAGUUUACUGCCAUGGGAUGGGACUGCGGCCUAUCAGCUUGUUGGUGAGGUAAUGGCCCACCAAGGCGAUUACAGGUACGGGCUCUGAGAGGAGAAGCCCGGAGAUGGGUACUGAGACACGGACCCAGGCCCUAUGGGGCGCAGCAGGCGAGAAACCUUAGCAAUGUGCGAAAGCACGACUGGGUCAGUCCGAGUGAUUCCUGAUAAAGGAGUCUUUUGCUUGUCCUAAAAGCACAAGUGAAUAAGGGGUGGGCAAGUCUGGUGUCAGCCGCCGCGGUAAUACCAGCACCUCGAGUGGUCAGGACGUUUAUUGGGCCUAAAGCAUCCGUAGCCGGCUCUGCAAGUCUUCGGUUAAAUCCACCUGCUCAACAGAUGGGCCGCUGGAGAUACUACAGAGCUAGGGAGUGGGAGAGGCAGACGGGAUUCAGUGGGUAGCGGGUAAAUCUCUGGUCCAUGAUGGCCCCAGUGCCAAGGCGGCUGCCGGACACGUUCGACCGGUACGGUGGGAGUGGGGAGCAACGGAUUUGUACCGGUUAUCCAGGUUAACAUGCCACCGCGGUGCUGGUUUUGGCAU